rnacentral:piRNA from 1 species
UCCNCACAGGUGCCAGAGCAGGCUUCUC